rnacentral:misc_RNA from 1 species
GAUGAAGAACGCAGCGAAAUGCGAUACGUAAUGUGAAUUGCAGAAUUCAGUGAAUCAUCGAAUCUUUGAACGCAUAUUGCGCUCUCUGGUAUUCCGGAGAGCAUGCUUGUUUGAGUAUCAGUAAACACCUCAACUCCCUUUUCUUUUUUGAAAUUGGAGCUGGACUUGAGUGAUCCCAACGCUUUCUUCCAAGAAAGUGGCGGGUUGCUUGAAAUGCAGGUGCAGCUGAACUUUUCUCUGAGCUAUAAGCAUAUCUAUUUAGUCUGCCUAAAAAACAGAUUAUUCCCUUUGCUGCAGCUAACAUAAAGGAGACUAGUUCUUGUGCUGACUGAUGCAGGAUUCACAGAGACAGCUUCGGCUGACUUUGUAAACUCGAUCUCAAAUCAAGUAAGACUACCCGCUGAACUUAAGCAUAUCAAUAAGCGGAGGA